UGGCCUAGUAUUGGAUUUCUAGGCCACCAACUUAAAACCACUGUAACUCUGUUGAAAUUUGAGGGAUUUGGCU
ensembl:ncRNA Y39B6A.80 ncRNA